rnacentral:ncRNA from 1 species
CGCUAGGGGAGCACAUCGCUGAGAUUGGAUGGCAUAGUCAUCCUAACCCUCAUUACUUGAACCGGGUAAUACCGGCGUAAGGAAGCAUUUUU